AAACAACCAAACAAACAAAAACCUAAAGCAACACAGUCCACCAUGGUCGCACAGCGCCCAGCAGCUCAGGCACAUGGGUAGUGUUGUGAAAGGGACCGUGCUGCAAGCUCCCCUCCUCUCUGCACCGUCCACCAGCACUGCUCUGCCCACAUCAGGUCCUGCCUGCACACUGGUGAUGCUGUUCCCAGAGGAUGGGGAAAAGCCUGCCAGCUCACUCACCAGCUCCUCCUGGAUCUCCUGGGUGCGCCUGUUGAGCUGCGCGUUGUACUGAUGUUUCAAGAAGCGCCUAAAGACAGGAAGAAUCAGGCAGCUUCAGUCCCCAUAGGGCCGAUUACCAGCUACCAGCAGCACCCUACAGACCACACCGUGGCCUUUGGUUCUCAGGAGAUUCCAAGGACGCCUGAGAAGGCAAGAGACCCACCCUCUGGGGAGAGCCCUGGGCAUCCCCGACUCACCCCAGCUCUGUCUUGCGCCGGAGGGCGGCCAUCUGCCUCCUUUCCUCCUCCAGCCUUUCCAGCUCCCAGCGCUGCCUCAGCAGGUUCUCCUGUUCCUUCUUCAGUUUGGUUG
ensembl:antisense Gm42789 predicted gene 42789